AUCCCUGUAGCGCAAUGGAUAGCGCGUUGGACUUCUAAUUCAAAGGUUGAGGGUACGAAUCCCACAUGGGAUG